UAGUUACAGGCUGUAAAGGGGCUGAAGUCUCUAGCAAAGGCACAGUGGAAUUAGUGCUCCACAUUAGGCUUGGCCCCUGGCGCACACAGUUGCUCAGCUCUGCCUCCUGCUUCUGCCCAGGAACUUUAAAGCGGGAGGGACCCUUCUGGUUUGGUAUUUCUAGCUUUCCCCUGCUCCCCAAAGCCUAUCAUCCAUUGUCCAAGACCAGGAAGCGACUAGAUUGGGAAUUAGGGCUACCACAGGAAGUGCCUUGAUGUUUACUUAUUUGCAUUGUGCGACUAGGUGUUAUCCUGGAAAACGCAGACAGCCAGUGGCUGAGAGAGCACAGUACGAGUUUUCUGAGCACAGCUCUCCACUUGUUCCACGGAGACGAGCAUCCCAGUGUGCAGCAGGCAGCAGCUCAAGUCCUCAGAGACAACUGGGUGGAGCUCAGGAAUCUUCGGAGCAACUAGGAGGUCCUCCAAAAACAUCUUUGAGUGCAGAAAGUGAGCAGCGGGAAGGCAAGACAGGCAAGGCAAGAGCAGGCAGUCCACAGAGUGUUACCACGGAGCCAGUGCAAUCAGCUGACUGAAAUAAAACAUUGCCUAUUGAACAGAAA